rnacentral:rRNA from 1 species
GGCGAACGGGUGAGUAACACGUGGGUGAUCUGCCCUGCACUUUGGGAUAAGCCUGGGAAACUGGGUCUAAUACCAGAUAGGACCAUGCUUUGGAUGGUGUGGUGGAAAGUUUUUCGGUGUGGGAUGAGCUUGCGGCCUAUCAGCUUGUUGGUGGGGUAAUGGCCUACCAAGGCGUCGACGGGUAGCCGGCCUGAGAGGGUGUACGGCCACAUUGGGACUGAGAUACGGCCCAG